rnacentral:lncRNA from 1 species
AUCAACACCAUUUAAACACCGUCUCUGCUUUUGCAUGGACAGUUAUUCAAGCAGGCCUCCAUCUGUUUCCCUUUCCUUCUUGUCUGUGUCAUUCUAAUGGACAGAGCAAGCUCUCUGAGGCAUGGGUGAAAAAUUCCUAUGAAACACUGCAUGACACAAGUUUCUCAGUAUUUUGUAUGGAUCACAUGCUAAAAUGGAUAUGUCAUCCCAUAGAGAUCACAACCCCUAGAUGAGUAAUGCCUGUACAGCAUGCAAUAUGACUGACUACAGAAAGCCUGAUUGGAAUUGCAAGUUGCAUUUUAACUUGAGGCAGGUACAGCCAUUAUGCCCUGGCUGCCCAGUUCUUCCAUUGUUUGCUGAGAUUUCUUCAAAUACAUCACAAUUCCCUCAUUGGCCAUACACUAAUCUGUCCGUCCAGAAGAAAAAAGGAAUGGAUAUUUCAAUUUCUGAGAUUUCAUCCUGA